rnacentral:rRNA from 1 species
AAUUUUGUACAAUGGGGGAAACCCUGAUCCAGCCAUCCCGCGUGUAUGAUGAAGGCCNNNGCGUUNUNAAGUACUUUUGGCAGNGGNNAAAAGGUAUCUCCUAAUACGAGAUACUGCUGACGGUAUCUGCAUAAUAAGCACAGGCGACCUACGUGCCAGCAGACGCGGUAAUACGUAGGGUGCACGCGUUAAUCGGAAUUACUGGGCGGAAAGCGUUUGUAGGCGGUUCGGAAAGAAAGAUGUGAAAUCCCAGGGCUCAAACUUGGAACUGCAUUUUUAACUGCCGAGCUAGAGUAUGUCAGAGGGGGGUAGAAUUCCACGUGUAGCAGUGAAAUGCGUAGAUAUGUGGAGGAAUACCGAUGGCGAAGGCAGCCCCCUGGGAUAAUACUGACGCUCAGACACGAAAGCGUGGGGAGCAAACA